GAGGAAUAUUGGUCAAUGGACGCAAGUCUGAACCAGCCACGUCGCGUGAAGAAAGACGGCCCUACGGGUUGUAAACUUCUUUUAUACGGGAAUAAAGUGCCCCACGCGUGGGGUUUUGCAAGUACCGUACGAAUAAGGAUCGGCUAACUCCGUUCCAGCAGCCGCGGUAAUACGGAGGAUCCGAGCGUUAUCCGGAUUUAUUGGGUUUAAAGGGUGCUCAGGCGGGGGAUUAAGUCGGCGGUGAAAUUUUGCAGCUCAACUGUAAAAGUGCCUUCGAAACUGGUUUCCUUGAGUGCGGAUGAAGAAGGCGGAAUUGGUGGUGUAGCGGUGAACUGCAUACAUAUCACGAGGACCUCCGAUAGCGCAUGCAGCUUACCAAGCCGUAACUGACGCUCAAGCACGAAGGCGUGGGUAUCAAACA
rnacentral:rRNA from 1 species